GCGACAUCACGACCUGAGCGGAAGUCGGACACCCAACCUACUGCGCCACCCAGGUCCCCGAGCAACAAAUCCCAGAAGUCACAAGACGCAAACAGUACCCAAUUCUUGUCGACAAGCCUUCCAAGGUGAUGGCUCAGAUCUGAACUUCUCUGGGAUUUGAGGGCUGUCUGGGUGAGGUGAGGCCCUUUAGCCAGAGAGUUGACACGGAAGGGCCAAUCCCCCAAGGGACGGUGACCUGUCCUCAUGGGACAACUCUCUGACAUCCUCCCUGGGUCUUUAGCCCCUGGAUUCGUUUCCGUGACGCAGAAAGCCUGUCGGAGCCAUGCCGUGGACGUGGGGAGGUGCGCAAGGCCACGCAAGCCCCUGAGGAAGCAGCGUCUGACUGCAAGAUAACGCACGACCCAUCGUGAGAAGCAAAUACAUCAGCAGCAAGAAGAGCCUGUUCCCCAAGUCUCUUCCACAAGCGACUCCUGAAUCUUCCCACAGCUGCCAAAGCCCGGGGAGAAUAGGCCCGAGAUAGGCCUUCUGGGACAUCCAGGAUAUUAUCACAGGACGCGGAAGGAUUGGGUAGACACGGGGGAAAUUAACCUUUGACUGGCGACCCCAGCCUGUGCCCGUCACAUGCGCUGUUGGGCGCAGUCAGCACGGAGACCAACAGGUUGCCCCCCCCCACCCAAUGACCAUAGCGUGGCCUGGGCGCCCUGGUUGGCCCCCACCCAUGACGGCAGCGUGGUCUGGGCACAGGAGCAGGUAAGAAAGCACAGGACGCUAUGAAUGGACCUCACCCUCUCUCAGAUCCUCCAUUGGCAGUGUUCUGACUCUUCAUCUAAAGUUCUGCACAGAAAGACAA